CGGCAGCAGGACUCCACAGCCUCAGGGGCAGCUUGGUGAUGGAGAAGAAGUCGAGGACCUGUCAAGGAUCUUCUUUCUUAGGAGUGGCGGAGGGCUGACCAGUCUCAAUAAAGCACAGGGGGAGCCCCUGUGACCCAGCGUCUGGGUGGCAGCCUGUGGACAAUCUGCAGCUCAUCUGGAUCACGCAGCUCAGCUGAACUCACAGCCCGAGGUCCAGCACUGCCCAGGGGCUGGCAGCCGUCCUGCUUGGGUGGGGCUCUGCAGGAUGGGCAACCACACGACGGUCUCCCUGGGAGCCUGGGAAAAGGGAGGAUUCACAGAUUACAAGGGGACAAGACCCUGUUGGACAAAAAUGACCAAGUGGGAAGCUGCCUAGCUCUGACCAGGUCUGGGAACACACUGGGAUUGGAAGUCAUCUAAAUAUAGCCUGUUUAUAGACUGCGAUCUGACUUUCUCAGGCACUGUUUGUAUGAGAGCUGGUAACUAUAGCACAAUUUUUCUAAACUGGUCAUUUUCAAC
rnacentral:lncRNA from 10 species